CACGUAGGGUGCGAGCGUUGUCCGGAAUUAUUGGGCGUAAAGAGCUCGUAGGCGGUGUGUCGCGUCGGCCGUGAAAACUUGCAGCUUAACUGUGGGCGUGCGGUCGAUACGGGCAUCACUGGAGUUCGGCAGGGGAGACUGGAAUUCCUGGUGUAGCGGUGAAAUGCGCAGAUAUCAGGAGGAACACCGGUGGCGAAGGCGGGUCUCUGGGCCGAUACUGACGCUCAUGCACGAAAGCGUGGGGAGCAAACAGG
rnacentral:rRNA from 1 species